AAACUUAUCUGGCAAGGGAGACGCCAUGAUCACGAAGGUGGUUUUCCUUGGGUGAGGCUUAUCCAUUGCACUCUGGAUGUGCUGACCUCUGCAAUUUCCCCAAAUGUGGGAAAUUCAAUUGCAUAAUUUGUGGUAGUAGGGGACUGCAUUUGCACUCUCCCU
rnacentral:snRNA from 1 species